AAGUUGAACCUGACCUGUACUUGCCCGAUGGGCAAGUGCUUUUGAACCCUAGUGUCAACCCCUGCUCCAGUGGCUCUCAGGAACCAGGUACCCUGGUGCGACAGUGCUCUUUGAUGUACCGUUUGGUUGGAUUAGCAGGCAUACCACAGAAGACGUAUAGCUGUUUCAGUUUCUCCAGGUCUGUCUUGUCCACGAUAGUAAAAGCUGCUGAAAGGAACUUGCAGAAAGAGCUGUGCAGUGGAUGGUGCUCUGACACACAAUCUCUGGAAAGGCAUUGCAUACAAUGAAGCUGUUGAACUUGCUGAGGGAUGCACUGGUGUUGUGGAGGGCCCCCGAAGUUGCCUCAGCCACUAAAUCCUCUGUGGUUUUCCAGCAGUCCCAGUGGAGCUGCUUCUGGGGACCAGGAUUUGAGAUCCUGAAGGCUGCACAGCAGUCCCUGUACACACAGAGAGAAGUAUGUUUAAGAUGCACUUUGUUUUAUUCAAGUUGCAAUAACGGUAAAUAAGUGAAAAGGGGAAGGUGGUGAUUAGUUCUUACCCGUCAACCCACUGGUAUUGGGCUUUGUGGAUGUCUGCGUGGGUGUAACGGCAAGACAACCCCUCAUACAUGGGUUCCAAGGAUCUGUCACCCUUUGACUGAAGCAUAACCCAGGACAGGAUCAUCCAGUUUUCCUUCAUCACGGCAUAUGAGGACAUGGUUCCUGAUGCAAGAACUACUUUCCGAGCCUUCUUCCGGGUGUGGUCAGCUCUCAAGGCCUGACCAAAUGUGCCUUGGGAGAGUAGAACAAGGGUGUCUUCCUGUCUGUUGUACUCCUGAAUUAGGCACUCGACCAGGUAAUGACCCAAAAACGUCACUCCGUGCCACCCAUCCACAUACCCACCAACUGGAGCAGGAGUUGCUAUUGCUCUCAUUGCCCCUGUGAUGGUUCACUGUCCAUACAGCCCAGCUUCUCCAUCCAGCACGUUCUUCACACUUGACAGGUAUGUCAAGUGUGCCCGCUCAUACUUGAGGUGGAGAGUCUCAUUCAACUGGUUGGCCAUGUCAUUGGGAGACUUUCCAGAUUGCGCAGCUCAUCUAACAGUCUUACAAAUUGCCUUCUUCAUUGUGUUGAAAGCUGGUCAAAUCUUGGAGAAUCGGCUCAGCAACAUGUCACACCAAUUGAGGCUUGUCUGUGUGCCAGAACUCUUUGCAUCCUUUGCAACAGAGCCGUGACACCAGGAUAUAAUACUGGCCACCCAAGCCGAUAAUGACACGGGGUCACCCAACUCCUGAUGACACUACGAAAGGACUUCCACAGCCAUAGAGACAGGGCAGAGUGUAGUUGUUUUUCACUCGCUCCAUGAUCGUGUGCUCUGGCUUCCAUAUAAAAAAUGGAUGGAGCUGGAAGUUGGGCGCGGGUAGGUCGUUAACACUGUCAAUAAGCUCAGGCUGAGGUGGGUAAUGCCACAAGGAGAUCAUAUUCAUCAGAUGUCUCACCGGUCGAAAACCUUGCCAAAGCCCCAAUGCCUCCAUCUCAGUCUUCAUCCAGAUUCUCUGAUGGUGUAGCAGUUCCAACGAAUUACAUCCUGGUUGUAGCUUGGGAGUGGUUGAUCAGUAGACUUUGUAGCCCCGCCCAUUCUGCCAGUGAUUUGAGUUUGCCCUGCAGAAGCAAUACUUUUCCUUCUAGUUUCGAUACUUUUUUGCCGGAGCCAAUCACCAAGCUGGCUUUUCGCCCUGGCGCUCUAUUGGCUGGUUUAACACAAUGACGACAGGGAAGCGGCGGCAAGCAGCCAAUUGCGUACAGAGUGUAGUGUUAUGGCCCCAUGCAGGGCUAUGUUUUGUCUUGCAGGUCGGGCUGAUUGGAGACACUAGCUGUGUUCGAAAUCGUUCCCUAUACACUCGUUCCCUAUUCCCUAUAUAGUGUAAAUGAUAUAGUGCACUAUAUAGGGAAUAGGGAACGAGAAAUCGGACACUACGCUGAACAUUUCUAAACGUCAUUUGCGUCAGUAAAUGCGCCUGGUAUUUGUGUGACGUGAUGCGCCGACAUCAUCUAAACAAACCGGGCUG
ensembl:lncRNA